rnacentral:rRNA from 1 species
UACGGGGGGGGGCAAGCGUUUGUUCGGAAUUACUGGGCGUAAAGGGCUCGUAGGCGGCCAACUAAGUCGGACGUGAAAUCCCUCGGCUUAACCGGGGAACUGCGUCCGAUACUGGAUGGCUUGAGUGUGGGAGAGGGAUGCGGAAUUCCAGGUGUAGCGGUGAAAUGCGUAGAUAUCUGGAGGAACACCGGUGGCGAAGGCGGCAUCCUGGACCACGCUGACGCUGAGGAGCGAAAGCCAGGGGAGCAAACGGG